rnacentral:rRNA from 1 species
AGAGUUUGAUCCUGGCUCAGAACGAACGCUGGCGGCGUGCUUAACACAUGCAAGUCGAACGUGAAAGUGGCUUCGGCCAUGAGUAAAGUGGCAGACGGGUGAGUAACACGUGGGUAACCUGCCCCUUGGCGGGGGAUAACCAUUCGAAAGGAUGGCUAAUACCGCAUAAGACCACGUCCUUAUGGGAUGGGGUAAAAGACGAAAGUCACCGAGGGAGGGGCCCGCGGCCGAUUAGCUAGUUGGUGAGGUAAUGGCUCACCAAGGCAACGAUCGGUAGCUGGUCUGAGAGGAUGAUCAGCCACACUGGUACUUAGACACGGACCAGACUCCUACGGGAGGCAGCAGUGGGGAAUAUUGCGCAAUGGACGAAAGUCUGACGCAGCAACGCCGCGUGGGUGAAGAAGGCCUUCGGGUCGUAAAGCCCUGUCAGGUGGGAAGAAACCUGCGUAAGCAGCUGACGGUACCACCAAAGGAAGCACCGGCUAACUCCGUGCCAGCAGCCGCGGUAAUACGGAGGGUGCAAGCGUUGUUCGGAAUCACUGGGCGUAAAGGGCGCGUAGGCGGCCGAUCAAGUCUGAUGUGAAAGCCCGGGGCUCAACCCCGGAAGUGCAUUGGAAACUGGUCGGCUUGAGUUCGGGAGAGGAGGGCAGAAUUCCCGGUGUAGGGGUGAAAUCCGUAGAGAUCGGGAGGAAAACCAGUGGCGAAGGCGGCCCUCUGGAACGAAACUGACGUUGAGGCGCGAAAGCGUGGGGAGCAAACAGGAUUAGAUACCCUGGUAGUCC